rnacentral:rRNA from 1 species
GAUGAACGCUGGCGGCGUGCCUAAUACAUGCAAGUCGAGCGAACGGACGAGAAGCUUGCUUCUCUGAUGUUAGCGGCGGACGGGUGAGUAACACGUGGAUAACCUACCUAUAAGACUGGGAUAACUUCGGGAAACCGGAGCUAAUACCGGAUAAUAUUUUGAACCGCAUGGUUCAAAAGUGAAAGACGGUCUUGCUGUCACUUAUAGAUGGCUCCGCGCUUCAUUAGCUAGUUGGUAAGGUAACGGCUUACCAAGGCAACGAUGCAUAGCCGAACUGAGAGGGUGAUCGGCCACACUGGAACUGAGACACGGUCCAGACUCCUACGGGAGGCAGCAGUAGGGAAUCUUCCGCAAUGGGCGAAAGCCUGACGGAGCAGCGCCGAGUGAGUGAUGAAGGUCUUCGGAUCGUAAAACUCUGUUAUUAGGGAAGAACAUAUGUGUAAGUAACUGUGCACAUCUUGACGGUACCUAAUCAGAAAGCCACGGCUAACUACGUG